rnacentral:rRNA from 1 species
UUGAAUUGAAGAGUUUGAUCAUGGCUCAGAUUGAACGCUGGCGGCAGGCUUAACACAUGCAAGUCGAACGGUAGCAGGAGAAAGCUUGCUUUCUUGCUGACGAGUGGCGGACGGGUGAGUAAUGCUUGGGAAUCUGGCUUAUGGAGGGGGAUAACUACGGGAAACUGUAGCUAAUACCGCGUAGUAUCGUAAGAUGAAAGUGCGGGACCGCAAGGCCGCAUGCCAUGGGAUGAGCCCAAGUGGGAUUAGGUAGUUGGUGGGGUAAAGGCCUACCAAGCCUGCGAUCUCUAG